UACGUAGGGUGCGAGCGUUAAUCGGAAUUACUGGGCGUAAAGCGUGCGCAGGCGGCGCGUUAAGACAGGUGUGAAAGCCCCCGAGCUUAACUUGGGAAUUGCGCUUGUGACUGGCGGGCUGGAGUGUGGCAGAGGGAGGUGGAAUUCCACGUGUAGCAGUGAAAUGCGUAGAGAUGUGGAGGAACACCGAUGGCGAAGGCAGCCUCCUGGGCCAGCACUGACGCUCAUGCACGAAAGCGUGGGGAGCAAACAGG
rnacentral:rRNA from 1 species